AAAAUGGCUUCCUCUGAUGACAGAGAUACAGUAGUGAAGAGACUUAGACAUUUGGGCAGAAAACUAUCCAAAAACCUAGCUUCUUCAGCUGAUAUGCUUCUUGAAUUACUUGAUGUAACGUAUCUUUUAACUUCUAUUUUUUAAUGUAUCUAUUGAUUAAUUUGAUUUAAAUGUUAUGUUUGUGUUUUAAAUUACAUUGUAAUUGAACUUCUGGAUUUUGUUAUGCUUCUUUGUGUAUCUUUUUGCUGAAUUGCGUGUCAUUGAUUCAAUUGCAUCUUCUGAUCAGGAGUUUAGGGUUUGUGCUAUGGCUUUCUAGUAAAUUGAAUUUCAAUGUUGUUAAUUUGAUGCAUACCUUAUGAUUGAGUGAGGUGGAAAUGUUAUGUAGCACCAACAGCUCUAAUCAAAGGUGUUUCCGGUGUCUGACACUGGCACGACACUGACACAUGUGAUUCCGUUCCCAUAAUUCAUUUUUUUAAAUUAUUACCAUCUGUGGUGUUGGCUUGGGACCUUGGAGUGUGCUCCUCUCAGGGUCUCGGGUUCGAUUAUGCUCGGUGCCAAUUUUGGUGGGUUAGUUUGGUAAAAAAAUAAUAAUAAUUACUUGUGCCAGUGCAUUAUAGAACACUAUGGCGUAAUUUGAUCCAUGUAGCCAACCUCACUUAGUGGGAUAAGGCUUGGUGGUUGUUGUUGUUGUACUUGUGUCAGUGUCCUGUCUGUUGUCUCUGUUGGUGCUUCAUAGCUUAUAUGUGUGUCAAUUUUUGUUUCCUAAGGACUAGUAUUUGGUUUACCUCUUACAAUUGUUUACUGCAAUGUUUGACAUUUGAUAUUUCAAAUUAGGCACAACAAUGUAAUUAGGAGUUAAGCACCUCUAGCUAGUUAAAAAAUUGGUUUUUGGUCAACUUUCUUGGAUUGCUCCGAAAUUUGUCCAGCUUAUCCAAAAAAAAUCAUGGAACUGUAGUCCCCUAGCAGGGACUGCUUACGGGACUCCGGUCUCAAAAUCCAAAAUUCCUUCGUUUAGACCGCUUUUUAAUUUUUUUGAAUAUUUCAUAUCCUUAAAAAAUCCAAAAAAAAUUGUGUUAGAGUUAUUUGUUUUUUAGAGAUUUAUUGUGGCAUUUUUAUAUUUUGUUUUAGCAUUAGGACAUCGUCGGUAUUUCUUGAUAUAUGUAUGCUGCUGCAUUCCUAUGUCUUAUGAUGCUUGAUUAGAUGAAUUCUUGGAUUCUAACACUCUUUAUCCUGAAAUAGAUAGGAUGUUUUAUUCACUUCAUAGACUUAAUAGGAUUAGUACAAGUACAAACAUAGGUGUCCUGAGAUGUCAUUAGAACUCCUUCUGGUGAAGUAAAAGUAAGUGCAGUGUCAACCUUAUACAUUCAUUAAUGUAAUAACUAGAUCAAUUUUCUCUAUUUUAUGUUUUUACACUCUGAGUAUGUUUAGCAAAAGAGAUAAGAGAGAAGAAAUAUAGCGAUAAGAUUUAUAAAAUGUUACAUUUUAUUCAUUCUCUCUCUAUCUAUCUAUUGAAAAUUUCAAGUCAUUGGAGUGUUUUUCUUUCCCUUAUAUUGUAAAUUUUGUGCAUAUCAUUCUAAUCACACAAAAAAUUCCAGACCAAAAGAUUUGGAUAAACUGCAAAAUAUUAGUCAUCACAGUCGCAACAUGGAAACAACAUCUUCCUCCAUCGGUGCUUUCUUGAUUGACUUUUAUCAGCUUCCAUCAUUCUCACCGGGCUUCCACUCCAUUCCACAGGUAAUCUGUUAUUCAUUCACAAGCUUAACUACUUAUAACAAUUUAUUUCGAAUAUUGAAACAUAAAUGACAGAAUUGUAACUAACUUAUAACUUGUUAGGGUUUAAACUCGGGUACUUCUUAUCAGUUCGACUUUCAGUGAAACUCAUUAACCACUGCAGUUCAAAGAUUGCGCGCAAGAUAUUUACUAGUGUAUAAUUAAACAAGAACAAAGUAACUUACACGGGAAAAGAAAAUGAGUGUGAACUGCUUAUGCUAUCAUUAGAUUGAUGAGAGGCAAUGCUAGAGGUGUUUGCAUGACAAGUACAUGAUGUUUGAUCAGAUUGAGAGUCCGAGGCACUAUUUGAAGUCUCUUGAUGAUCAUCAACUUGUUUGUUGUCUGAACUUGUUAUACUUUGUAAGUAACUUAUAUCAGGUCUAUACAUGUUUGAGUCAGUUACUUGUAAACACUCUCUGCUAUGUGGAAACUCCACUCUGCUUCCACUUGUUCUCUGCCAAUUCUCAAAGGACCUAGAAAAGUUUCUUUCCCUUUGGAAAGCCUGAAAAUUGUAAAAGAUAAAAUGGGUCAACAAAUUUAGAGGUAGCAUACUUUGGAUUUAAUUUCAAUGUGUUCCACUGAGGUAACAAUAUUAUAUCUAUUUUGAUAUUUUUGAAUGAGCUUCUAACACUUGACGUGGGAGCCUUAAAUUCUAAGUGCAAGUUGUGCUACUAAAUUUUUAUGUACUUCACCUUUUGUGAUAGUGUAGAUGGCAG
rnacentral:lncRNA from 1 species